AUGCUCUGGGCCUGUAAGGAGGCGGUUAGUGGAGGGAAAUGCAAAGUCAACUGGCAAAAGGUCUGCCGCCCCAAGGAGCUCGGUGGUUUGGGGGUUCUGGACCUGGAGAGGUUCUCCCGGGCCCUGAGGCUUCGCUGGUUAUGGUAUGAGUGGAAGGCUCCUGAGAAGCCAUGGGUGGGCUCUGAAACACCCAACGACGCCUCCGACCUUGACCUCUUCAAUGCGGCUACUCGCGUCACCAUCGGAAACGGCGCCAAGGCCUCCUUCUGGUCGUCUUCAUGGCUCAAUGGUGCCCCGCCAAAAGACCUGGCUCCCCUAAAUUUCAAGGCUUCCAAGAGGAAGAAUCGGACGGUCCAGGACGCUCUCGCUGAUAACAACUGGAUCUCGGACAUAGCGGUGGAUGCGUUCAUGGCCGAUCACAUGGAACAAUACGUCUGCCUCUGGGAGCUCUUGUCGGAUAUCCAGCUUCAUCCUGACACUGAGGACUCCAUUACCUGGUCCUUGACCCCUAAUGGGUGCUACUCGGCCACCUCCGCCUACAAGGUCCAGUUCCUUGCCUCUUUGCCCUGCCAGUUCGGGAACAUCGUGUGGAAGACCUGGGCCCCUCCAAAGUGUCGUUUCUUCGCCUGGCUCGCUGUCCAGAACCGUUUAUGGACCGCCGAUCGCUUGGUGAAAUGCGGAUGGCCGCACCAACCUACUUGUCAGCUCUGCCGUUCCUCCCCUGAGACGGCACGACACAUUCUUUUCGAGUGCCGCUUCUCCAGACGUAUCUGGACGGCCGCGGCCUCUUGGCUGUCUUGUCCAGACCUCAUCAGCAGCAUCGGGGAGGGUAGGCCUAAAGUCGUGGACUAUUGGUUGGCCGUUUCGAAGUCCACCACCUCCUCCCCAAAUGGCUUGCGCUCAGCUAUCACGCUCAUCACUUGGGAGAUCUGGAAAGAGAGGAACGAACGAGUUUUCAACAACAAGUCCUCCCUGCCAUCGGUUGUCAUGCAUAAGAUUAGGGAAGAGGGGAAGGACUGGAUCCUCGCCGGUGCUAAAAAUCUGGCGGAACUUGUAGGCUGA
rnacentral:rRNA from 1 species